rnacentral:rRNA from 1 species
AGUGAACGCUGGCGGUAGGCCUAACACAUGCAAGUCGAACGGCAGCACAGUAAGAGCUUGCUCUUACGGGUGGCGAGUGGCGGACGGGUGAGGAAUACAUCGGAAUCUACUUUUUCGUAGGGGAUAACGUAGGGAAACUUACGCUAAUACCGCAUACGACCUACGGGUGAAAGCAGGGGAUCUUCGGACCUUGUGCGAUUGAAUGAGCCGAUGUCGGAUUAGCUAGUUGGCGGGGUAAAGGCCCACCAAGGCGACGAUCCGUAGCUGGUCUGAGAGGAUGAUCAGCCACACUGGAACUGAGACACGGUCCAGACUCCUACGGGAGGCAGCAGUGGGGAAUAUUAGACGAUGGGCGCAAGCCUGAUCCAGCCAUACCGCGUGGGUGAAGAAGGCCUUCGGGUUGUAAAGCCCUUUUGUUGGGAAAGAAAAGCAGCAGGUUAAUACCCCGCUGUUCUGACGGUACCCAAAGAAUAAGCACCGGCUAACUUCGUG